AGACCGUCAUUGUCGUCGGCGGUCUGUUCUGUGGUGGUUGUUUGUUAUCUCCGGAAAGCAGUUCUUACGAUUUUAACCGAUCGGCCGACAACCCACGGCUUGCGACAAGUUCAGAAACGUGUCACUCAGAAUUCAGCUAACUCCCAACAUGUUGCUUACGGUUUGAAUUAACAUGCACGGAAUAGUAACCGCACGUAUCUGCGAGAAUUGCACCGAUUAGUGUUAUUUUGCCAAAGUGAAAGACAAUCGUUAUCUAAGUAGAUUGUAAAACAGACGAUAAGCGCUCAAUCUAUUCGACGAGUGGGAAAAGGACAGUAUUGCUCAUAAUCACUUAUCGCGAUUGGUUUUUGUGGGUAAAUUUCCACUUUUCGGGAAGGACGGAACAGUUAACAGUUUUGAUUCGCUGGAGCACCAGUAUGUUUAGAAAAGAGGAGGCUCGUAGCGAUCAUCAUGCUGAAAGUUGUGGUGUUUUGUUUGCAACUGUGGCUUGCAGUGGCAUAUGUGAAUGAAGUGACGACUCAGGAUCCGAGUUGGAUUCUUUUCAAUACGGUACAAUGCGGAGCGACUACCUGCAGUGUCACCACCCAGGAUUGCAUAAAUGAUUUGGUUUGCGAAUGCAAGACCGAUUUCGAGUACAAGGACGAUGGCCACUGCCAUAUUUGUCCUGGAGAAGGCCACAUUUGCACAGGGUGCUGUUUAGGAGAAGCAGUUUGCUAUGGGGGACGAUGUCAGCGAUGCUGGAAGGAUAGCAAUGGUGAAUGUCUCCCACAAGAUUCGCUAUUUUUUCUGACGGCAGCUCAAGUCGCUCUGGCAACUGCAAUGG